rnacentral:rRNA from 1 species
AUUGAACGCUAGCGGCAUGCUUUACACAUGCAAGUCAAACGGUAACAGGUUAAGCUGACGAGUGGCGAACGGGUGAGUAAUGCAUCGGAACGUGCCCGAUCGUGGGGGGUAACGCAGCGAAAGCUGCGCUAAUACCGCAUACGAUCUGAGGAUGAAAGCGGGGGACCGUAAGGCCUCGCGCGAUCGGAGCGGCCGAUGUCAGAUUAGGUAGUUGGUGGGGUAAAGGCUCACCAAGCCAACGAUCUGUAGCUGGUCUGAGAGGACGACCAGCCACACUGGGACUGAGACACGGCCCAGACUCCUACGGGAGGCAGCAGUGGGGAAUUUUGGACAAUGGGCGAAAGCCUGAUCCAGCAAUGCCGCGUGCAGGAAGAAGGCCUUCGGGUUGUAAACUGCCUUUGUACGGAGCGAAAAGGUCUCCUCUAAUACAGGGGGCUCAUGACGGUACCGUAAGAAUAAGCACCGGCUAACUACGUGCCAGCCGCCGCCGUAA